rnacentral:lncRNA from 1 species
CACCGAGGCCCCGCCUCCCACGUGCCAGCGCUCCUCUCCCAGCGCUCACCGGUCCUUCCAGCAGUCCUCAGGUUGCACGCGACCGGCAUACCACAACAGGACUACUUAAUCCUUAGAGGAUGUACAGCCAAACAAGGUGACUAGCCAUCGGCCAGGAGAGCUUAUUAAAAGAUUUCAUUUCUUGGGCAUCCAGGGAGGAGUCAAAAUAAAAACUAAUGUUACUUUGCAAAAGAUGACAAAGCUUUUGAAAGUCAAAAUUCCCAAGCCGGUGACCAUUGGAGAAGCCGGGCCAGCAUUUUGUUGACUAUUAUGCUAUGAGUCUCUAACCUGCUACCCUCUGAACUGAGACCUCAAGUGCCGGCCCUGAAAAGGAAGAAAAAGGAUGACUUGGAAGCAGGGCUGCGGAGAAGCACCUCAGCAGGCAGAGGCCAGGUUUUGAUCGCAUGCUGCUCUGUGUCCUGGGGCCUUUGCAAACCAACCCAGCACUACAGAAAAACAAGUCCAGUAAUGGAAUGCUUUAAAAGCUGGAUACAAUGUCUCAUACCUGCGCUUGGGAAGCUGAAGCAGGAGGACUGCUGAAAGUCUGAGACCAGCCUGGGCUACAAGUGAGACUGUCUCAAAAAACAACCCCCCCCCCCAAAAUGCAAAACCAAAACGAGAAAGAAAAAGAAUAACACGA